GUAACACGUAGCCAAUCUACCCUAUGGACGGGGAUAACCUCGGGAAACUGAGGAUAAACCCCGAUAGAUCAUUAUGCCUGGAAUGGUUAAUGGUUCAAAUGAUUCGUCGCCGUAGGAUGGGACUGCGGCCUAUCAGCUUGUUGGUGAGGUAAUGGCCCACCAAGGCUAUUACAGGUACGGGCUCUGAGAGGAGAAGCCCGGAGAUGGGUACUGAGACACGGACCCAGGCCCUAUGGGGCGCAGCAGGCGAGAAACCUUUGGAAUGUGCGCAAGCACGACAAGGUUAAUCCGAGUGUUUCCUGCUAAAGGAAUCUUUUGUUAGUCCUAAAAACACUAGCGAAUAAGGGGUGGGCAAGUUCUGGUGU
rnacentral:rRNA from 1 species